GAGAAACACACACGGGCGGGCGGAGGGGACCCGGGGCGAGUCAUCAAGGGCGCGUGGUUCGGCGUGCCAGGCGCGCUGCUCUGCCUGCUCUCUUGGCUUCUGUCUCCCUUCGACCGAUCGCCCCCUAUCCUGAAGCUUUCCAAUGUCAUCUUGGAGCCCCAAAGUUUCCUGGGGCCUCCGCGUUGUGCGUCCCAGAACCCCUUGCCUGCCCCUGAGGGAAACGCGGAGCCAUAGGCAGCGGGACGUCGGGAGCCAGCCCAGGGGAGGCCAGAUUCAGCAUUUGGACAGCGGCUCUGGGGCGCAGUCGGCCCAGCGAGUUUGCCGGUGAACAGCCUCGGGCACAUGGCGGGUAGGAGGGCCGCAGGGCUGCUCUGGGUCUUGAAGAAGCAGGACCCAGCCUAGAGGGCAUCCCCAGCUCCGAAUGGGACACGUUUUCCCGAGAUAAAAGAUCCCUUCUGAGCUCACACGGGAGCCCCGGGACCAUCCAAUCCAGCGUGGAUAUCCCCAGCCUAACCAACACCUGUGCUGGGGGGAAAGAUAAGACGCCCCCUUUCAGCCAGGAGGUGGACGACCCUCAUGCCCUCAGCUCUCCAUUCUUCCCAAAGCAGCUCGGAUCCCUAAGUCUGGAGCUGCCAGCGAGGCUUCCAACCCGCUGCUUGCCAUCACCUCCCAGGUCGUUGGUGGCUCCGAGAUUCUCACAACUUCUGCGUGCGAGCGCCCGCCCCACCGACCGCCCCGGCCCGGCCCGCAAGAGCCAGAGGAGCCGAGAGGAGCCCAGCGCCGGCCCAGCGGACUCCAGCUCGACGGAGCGGCCGCGCCCCGACCAGGAGUGCUAGGGUCCCUCUCGAGUUUCUCAUCUGCCUUCAGGUCACUUUCCACCCUGAUGCCUUGGCUUGUCCUGAAGCUCAGGGCCCCUGUAGCUUGGGAAACCUCCCAAGCUCCCCAGCGAGUGGCUGUAGACCAAGGAAGGGACCCUGCCCGGCUUCAGGGAAGAAAGGAAGAAAGGUACUCCCCUGCUGGUGCCUCCCUCCUUGGCGCGCUUCCCACCUGCGAUCGGCGCCCUCUUCGCAGUCACGAACUCGCCAGCAGCUAGCAGCACUGACUAGUAGGAGGGCCCGCCGGAGGAGAGGCGCGCGGCCCACAGAAGCGGAACGCGCGUCGAGAGCGCCCUGUCCGCUCGCCCCAGACAGAUGCCCGGUUAUUCAUUACCGCGAGGCCUAGAGGAAAGAGUGGCUGCCGUCUUCCUGCCCACAGCCCGCCGGACCCUCCGUCGCGGCUGCCCGGUCCCCGGAGCCGCAGCCGCCGAGCCCGGCUGUGCGUGUCGUGGCUGCUGGGGAGAAAGAGGCUUCCGGGGCAGGGGCGGAAACGGCCUUCCCCGCGUGGGGAACAAUGGCGUUAUUUUGGAGUCUGCAACCGCGAGCGCUUCAAGCUCUUUGAUUAUUUUCGAGGAGUGUUAGGAUGCAGAGUGACCAAGAAACUUCAGUAAUACUAGUUUGUGUCUUUGGAGUCCCACUUUUUGCCAGGGCUAGUGCUAACAGCUUCAGGAGAAUUCAGCCUCACCUUGACAGGAGUGACUUUUCCCACAAGUUAAAAUCAGGACUCCAAGGAGAACCUGUCUCCCAAUUGCUAUAAAAGUGUUUUAUAUGCUGAGCUGUAGUUCCUUUCUCUGCAGAGAAAAUAUAAUCAGAGACCAUCUGGGUGGGAGAGAAAGAACGAAGAGAAAGAAAUGGAUCAGAGUGGAAUAAAGGAAGUGGGAAGGAAGCUGGGGGGCUUCGAGGAGCCUGACCUUGCUUAGCUUACAGGCCCUGAUAUAGUGUCUUUGUCAAUGCUGCCACUAUUGACGCGUUCCUCGGUAAUUAUGACUGUGUGUUGGCAUGGCGACUCGGAGUAAGAAGACUAGAAGCACUGGGUAAAUGCACGACUUGUUCUUGCCUUCUAAAGCAGAGAGGAGCUUUUGUGGGUAGUUCCUACAGGGAUACAUGGUAGAAAAUUCACCAAACCCAGUGCUGGAGUGUUUCUCUUCCUCAGAAGAAAUCAGAUGCUGUUCAGAGCACGAAGGCUAGAAUUUUACCCUGGUUCUCAUGCUACCUUGCACCCAGGUUGGAUCCUGAGUACAGUUUUUGGCAGGAAGCCCCAGAGAGAUUGGUGAGGGUGAUUUCCCAGGAAGACGCAGUGUGCUCUGACUUCUGUGACAGUGAGCAACGGGACCAGUGGAUGUCCAGAUGCUGGCAAUGAGACAUGCUCUGGAGUCAGAAGACAGCGAAAAGAGAAGCAGAAGCCCCGGUGGCAAGAGUCUGAAGGGAGAAAAUAACCCAGUUUGGGAAGGACAUUUAAAAGGGGAAAAUAUUAGGAGGAAGGAUGACUGUAGCCUGUGGAUUGUACUGCAGUAGGAAACUGUCCUAGCAAGGCUCCACUUUGCCCCAGCUUCAAGGUGGAAAGGAGGAGAACAUGAAACAUUGCUUGAAGACAAUGGCCGAGACAGCAGGUCCCACCCUGCACAGCCACCAGCAUCUCUCCCCUCAGCCCUGUCUCCUCUUCUGCAGUUGGGAUCUGCACAUUUAAGCCUGAAGUUGUCCUGUGAAGUGAAGUAUGAUCGGACAGCCUCUUUUCAGCUUUUAUGACAAUGGAGACAGAGGAAUUGUGGCUCUUGCCAAGGUCACAGGAUUGGAAUACAGAGCCAAGCCACCCCAGGACAUGCAAGAGCCUCAGAAGGGAAAAAAGCCCAGCAGGAAGGGAGAACAAGUAGCCUCUGUCCUGAAGUUGUAACAGCCAGGGGCCAGGAUGGAGGAGGAGGACCCCAUAAUCUGCCCAUCUGGGACUUGGCAGGGGACCUGGGAAAAUGUACCCCAACCCAUCCCUUAAGGGCCUUUGUCUUUGGCCCAUUGGCCUAGCAUCUACUUCUUCACCGUGUCUGUUCUUGUCACACCUAGUCAGGUCUGUUUGGGUCUGAGGUGCAUGGAACAUUCUGGGUAGGCCUCCAGCAAACGGAAGCUCUUCACCGUGUUUCCAGCCUGGGACCAAGGGCAGCAUACUGGCAAAGUUGCCAAAGCAAGGGACUCCAGCCUCUUAGGAGUUAAUGACUCCCUCUCCCCAGCUGUCCUCCCCUUGGUGCUCCUCUUCCUCCCUCCUCCUGCUCACAGCAGGCAGGGCCUAGACCCGGGAGCCAUGCUGCUGUGCUGUUGCCAGGGGAGCACGGAGGCAGAUCUGAGCUAUGCAGGGAAAAGGCCCAGCCUGUCAAAGUGUCUGAGAUGAACCGCCGCCGUCCCUGUGCAGCUGGGCUCAGACGUGUCUCAGCUCUUGUUCUGUGCCUGAGAAUGGCGAAACCCAGUGAGGUUCAAGGGCAAACUCGCUAUUCAUUAGUCAGGGGUUCUUGACGUCCCGUCUCUCCCAGGGAUGAGUUCCCCCCUCCUCUUUCUCCCCCUCCUAUGACACAUUCCUGGGUGCCUUUGGUGAGGACUGCACACCCUCCUCCUGCCUAGCCCCCUCUCCAAAGGCCCCUGAAUAAACUCCCCCCAAGGAGACCAGGCAGGGCAGAGACAAUGGCUGCAGGAAAUCAUUCAGGCGGGACAUGCUGGCCUGCCCUCCACCCAGUCCCCCUGUGGGCCCCACUCCCUUCUGAUUCAGGGCACCCUUGGGCCCCCAGCCUAUACAGGCCUGGACAGGAAGAAACCACUGGGAACCACCCUAAGGACAACAUGCUAGUCCAGUGCCAUUCUUCGCUGGCUCUGUGGGUGCCUUUGUGGCCUGUACCGACUGGCUGGCUAAUUUUGUGGUUUCUGUACCAUCACAUGCCUAUUUUAAGACACUCUCCAGCACUGUCGGUUAGGGAGUGUAAAUUUUGCAAUAUUUUCUGAAAUGUGGCAAUAUCAAAAUGUAAAAGGCACACAUACUUGGUCACAAACAAAUGGCACUAUUUACUCUGUGGGCAUAUUUGUAAAAGUUGCCAAAGAAUUAUAUACAAGGAUGUUCAUCAGAGCAUUUCUUUUGAAGAGUAAAGAAAUGGACAUGAACCUGUGGUCCGUUCAUACGGUGGAAUACCUAUGCAGCUGUAAAAAUCAGUGUGGUAGAUCUCCGUAUAUGAGUUGAUGUGGAAGGUUGGCCAGUUCACAUGAUAAGGUGAAUAGAAUAAGUUACAGAACAGGCUGUAGAGUAUGAUCUUAUUUGUAGAUGUUUAAAACUGAGUCAUAAGUAUGCUUAUAUACAGAUCGUUUCUGGAAGUAUGUACUGGAAGUCUACCUCUGGGGAGUGGGGAUGGGGGAGUGCACUCUUCUAUACUGUUAUAUUUUCUUUUCAUGCUCCUAAGGUACUUUUAUUGGAAGAUGUAAAGCGGUUCAAUGUAAUAGGCUUAACUUCUGUCAACUAAGUUGGCGUGGGUGCUUUAAGAGGGUGGUAGUGAUGUUGCUGGAGAAAGUAUCCCACAGUCACUGGUGGCUUCAGCCACGGGCCAUUUUGGGGCCUAAUAAUCACAUAUCAUCAUGGUUGCUAGUGUUAAUCGAAAACCUACUAAGUGCCAGGCUUACUGUCUCUGGGUCUUGCUUACGUGGAUGUCAUUUUUCCAGUUGCACCAAAUCGAAAGAGGUUAAUUGGUUUGUUGGAGUUCCUUUGUAGGUGAAGGGCAGAGCCAGGAGCUUGGCUAGGGACAGGGGAGGUGAGUGGGGGAUGGUGGAUAGGUCUUGGCUCCCAGUUUCCUUCUGGGCAGACAUUGCCCCUCUGCCCUGAGGACCUGCUUGUUUGGGGGAAGAGGCCUUUAGAGGCACCAGGGUCAUGCCAGGUGUUGGACAUGGUGAACUGGGAAGUGCUCCCAUCUGGCCACAGCGCAGAAGUAUCACCGUGCUGGGGGAUGGGGAACAGGGCUGUGAAUGGGCCUAUUUGCAUAAGCAGCAUGUGUCUGGAGAGAAAGACAUCACAGAGCAGAAGAGUGCGGGUGCCCAGGAGUGCACUUGCCACCCCUACUUCAUCCCUGAAAGAGUAAAUGGCCUGGAAGGUGUCUCUGAGAGGUAAUGCCGCACACCACCCUCCCUGGGGGCAGGGUCAGGCUACACCUGCCUUAGGUCGGGGGCUGCAGCAGCCUGAGAGCUCUCAGUAGGGCCUCAGUAGCCUGGGAGGGAGCAGGGGCAGGGGGCAGGGAAAGAGGCGUAAUGGGGCUGUCCAGAGGGGCCUGGGAAACCUGGUCCCUGAGGCCUGGGCACAGCUACAAUCACUUCAAAUUGGCUGUGGGGCCAGUGGACUGGGAAGGAAAAAAGCAAUAAGAGUGACCAAGUGCAGAAGGCUGUCAGGUCCCAGGUCACAUGCCUUAGUGCAGUGACUCCUCAUCAUUUUAUGGGGUGUGGGUGUCGUUGGUACACCCAUUUUACAGAUGAGGACACCGAGGCCCAGAAAAGUUAAGUUACAUGUCCUAAGUCACACAGCUUGUAAGUGCCAGAACUGAGAUCAAAACCAAGUCUCUUUGACUUUAAAGUCUGUACUCUGACCCCAAAGAGAUCCUGUUUGGCCACUUAUAGGAGGUCCCUAAAGCUGCAGACUCCCCUUGCCGGCACCCACAUAUAGAGACAUUAACCCUUCCCCUGCAGGGUCACCUCAAAUAGUCUUUUAGCUGGGCUUCUCCUGCAAUUCCACCUAAUGCCAUCCCCUGGGUUUUGCCCAAACCUGAACUGGGCAGUGGGGUGAGAGGAGGGGUUUACAGGGUUACAGAGCCUCAUACAGAUAGGAGCCCAUGGCUGCUGGUCAUCUGCAUUCCUGCAGGAUUGGCUGUUCCUUGGGGUCCUUGGCAGGAAAAUGAGGAUUGCUCCGAGGCCUGCUCCAGUACUUCCCAGAGGCUGGCCUGGUGUGGGGCUCUGGGAAGGCUGAGGCUGGAGAAGCGUAAGUAGGAGGGCAGAGAUGGCACUCAGGUAGCUUGAAUCACCAGGACCCUUCCAAGCCCCACAGGUUCUGAGGGAGUACUAGGGCCAGCUCUGGGAGAGGUCUCUUCCUAUGCUGUGAACCCCCUGCCUUUCUUGCAGCCUACAACGAAUAAAUUUUCUUUGCAAAGGC
rnacentral:lncRNA from 1 species